GAUGAAGAACGUAGCGAAAUGCGAUAAGUAAUGUGAAUUGCAGAAUUCAGUGAAUCAUCGAAUCUUUGAACGCACCUUGCGCCCUUUGGCUAUUCCAGAGGGCAUGCCUGUUUGAGUAUCAUGAACACCUCAACUCUCAUGGUUCUGCCAUGAUGAGCUUGGACUUUGGAGGUCUUGCUGGCCCCUGUGGUCAGCUCCUCUCAAAUGGAUCAGCUUGCCAGUGUUUGGUGGCAUCACAGGUGUGAUAACUAUCUACGCUUGUGGUUUUCCACCAGGUAACCUUCAGUGAUGGAGGUUCGCUGGAGCUCAUAAACGUCUCUCCUCAGCGAGGACAGCUUCUUGAAUGUUUGAUCUCAAAUCAGGUAGGGCUACCCGCUGAACUUAAGCAUAUCAUAAGCGGAGGA
rnacentral:misc_RNA from 1 species